rnacentral:rRNA from 1 species
AUUGAACGCUGGCGGCAGGCUUAACACAUGCAAGUCGAGCGGAGAUGAGGUGCUUGCACCUUAUCUUAGCGGCGGACGGGUGAGUAAUGCUUAGGAAUCUGCCUAUUAGUGGGGGACAACAUUCCGAAAGGAAUGCUAAUACCGCAUACGUCCUACGGGAGAAAGCAGGGGAUCUUCGGACCUUGCGCUAAUAGAUGAGCCUAAGUCGGAUUAGCUAGUUGGUGGGGUGAAGGCCUACCAAGGAGACGAUCUGUAGCGGGUCUGAGAGGAUGAUCCGCCACACUGGGACUGAGACACGGCCCAGACUCCUACGGGAGGCAGCAGUGGGGAAUAUUGGACAAUGGGGGGAACCCUGAUCCAGCCAUGCCGCGUGUGUGAAGAAGGCCUUAUGGUUGUAAAGCACUUUAAGCGAGGAGGAGGCUACUGAGACUAAUACUCUUGGAUAGUGGACGUUACUCGCAGAAUAAGCACCGGCUAACUCUGUGCCAGCCGCCGCGGUAAUAC